CAAUCAGCGGUGGCUUUCCUUCCUCAGUGGGCGCUCCGCCUUAGGAUGGCUAUCUGGGGGCCCCUCUACGGCGCCCCGUCAGACUUUGUCAGUGGAGUUUAAUUUUUUUUAGUUCAUAUUUUAUUUUUGCUUACAGAAGACAAAGCUGUCCCCUUCCCAGAUGGGGAAGAGCUCAGAGAAAAGUUUGUGACUCCUAAAAAGUGAAGGCUUGCCUGGAUUUCACGCGGCCAGGACUUCUCUCUCCUGUUGGCGGGAAGCCCAGAUGACCUGCUUUCCUAUUACUCCUCAGUCUGAAACCUGUCUGCUGGAGUCUGUGUAACUGGGACUUGCGAACCAGGGAGAAAUUGCUGAAGUAGAAGAUUCUGGUGGAGGGGGCGGGAGCGGGGAGACAAAAGAAACCUCUUCUUUGGGCAUACAGGCUAAGCCUGAAGGAUUUCCAAGAUGACCAAGGUACCAGUCACCAAGAAGAUACAGAGUUCCUCCGCCUCGCGGGCCCUCUGGCCCUUGUAUGCAGCAGAUCUUCUAACCCAGGUCCCAGAAAAGCCAAUGAAGAGCAUCAGGUACAUGGACAAGGAAAUAAUAAACCUCAAGAAAGACCUUGCACGAAGCCGGUGAGUGAGCCCAGCGCCAGUGACCCCUCGACAUCCUGAUGGUGCUAAGCAGGCUGUGGGGCGAUGCCUGUAAGUCUUUGCCAGGUCCCCUUGCCCCUCAGCCCAAGCAUCAAGCAGAAGAUUUGCAGGCACGUAACCGUGUCAGGACUAGGGCACAGGAUCCAUUUCUCGGUUGGUCUUGUCAGGGAGUGCCUCCACCAGGCUUACCUGCCAUUCUUGCUCAGGCUAGUCCCAGGCUUCACAUUCCCUCUGCUUUCCUUUCUGGGCCUGAAUCCAACUCAAGAAGAGUUCCCAGAUGCUCCAGAAAACUCUUCCCUGUUUCCUCCAGGUCCAUAGUGUUGCAGCCAAGACUCAAAUAGACUUGGUUUCCAAUACUGGCCCUGCUACCUGCCAGCUGGUCACACUGAAGGAGUUACUUAACCUCCCCGCGUCACGGCUCCCUUAACUGUAAAAUGAAAAUAACAUGAGGUUGUUAGAAAGACUGCAUGAAAUAAUGCAUGAAAGCACCCCUCGUGUGGCCUCAAAUAUGAUACCAAUCAUGUCUUUCCCCCUCCCACCGCUUCAUUCCUCCACAGGAGUGUGAGCAAACUGAGGUCUGGGACCAUAUCUUACUCUUGUCUGUGGGACGAGGUGGGGUUUCCUUCUUCUCACUCCUCAACUACUUCCCGGGACCUGGAAUAUUCCGAAGUGGGGUCAUAAAUGAGGCAUUUGGCAAAGUACCUCAAGGCAGAGUAAGAGAUGGAGAUUCUUUUAGCAUAAGACACACAACUGAGAUGCGCUCAACGGGGUGGGGGUGGGGGGGCCCUGGGGAGGGUCUGUUUAUCUUACUCGUCACCCACUCUGAGGCAGACCCUGGUGAGAAAACAGUCAAGUCAUUGCCUUCCUUUACCUCCUUUUGUCAGAAGCUCCUUCUUUCCUGCCCACCCCCUCCCCCACCCCAUCUGCAGCACAGCUCUGAUGGAACAGGAUGACUCAGCCUCAGGGAAGGCGGAAGUGUGGGCUUCUGAAGCUGGGAAGAAGGAAUGGAUGAUAAAGACUAAGAGAGGCUUCAGGACAGGGCCCAGGGAACAAUAUUUCCCUACCAGCCAGAGGCGGCGCCAGAGGGGUGGCCAUGUGGGCUCUGAGAGGGUCUCUGGACACCCACUGUCCAGCAGAAACAUAGGGUGAACUGUUCAACUCAUUUUCAAUUUUUCAGUAGCCACACUAAAAAAAAAGCUAAAAAAAAAA
rnacentral:lncRNA from 1 species